rnacentral:rRNA from 1 species
UCAACCUGGUUGAUCCUGCCAGUAGUCAUAUGCUUGUCUCAAAGAUUAAGCCAUGCAUGUCUAAGUAUAGUAAUUAUACUGCGAAACUGCGAAUGGCUCAUUAUAUCAGUAAUAGUUUAUUUGAUAGUACCUUACUACAUGGAUAACCGUAGUAAUUCUAGAGCUAAUACAUGCGCAAAAUCCCGACUUUUCGG